CAGUCGCCACGGUAAUACGUAGGGUGCAAGCGUUGUCCGGAAUUAUUGGGCGUAAAGAGCUCGUAGGCGGUUUGUCGCGUCUGCUGUGAAAUCCCGAGGCUCAACCUCGGGCUUGCAGUGGGUACGGGCAGACUAGAGUGCGGUAGGGGAGAUUGGAAUUCCUGGUGUAGCGGUGGAAUGCGCAGAUAUCAGGAGGAACACCGAUGGCGAAGGCAGAUCUCUGGGCCGUAACUGACGCUGAGGAGCGAAAGCGUGGGGAGCGAACAGGAUUAGAUACCCCAGUAGUCCCUGUCUCUUAUAC
rnacentral:rRNA from 1 species